rnacentral:rRNA from 1 species
UGAGGAAUAUUGGUCAAUGGGCGAGAGCCUGAACCAGCCAAAUCGCGUGAAGGAAGACUGCCUUAUGGGUUGUAAACUUCUUUUAUACAGGAAUAAAAAACGGGGACGUGUCCCUUAUUGCAUGUACUGUAUGAAUAAGCAUCGGCUAACUCCGUGCCAGCAGCCGCGGUAAUACGGAGGAUGCGAGCGUUAUCCGGAUUUAUUGGGUUUAAAGGGUGCGCAGGCGGGCUUUUAAGUCAGCGGUGAAAUCUCGGGGCUUAACUCCGAAACUGCCGUUGAAACUGGGAGUCUUGAGUAUGGAUGAAGUAGGCGGAAUUCGUUGUGUAGCGGUGACAUGCUUAGAUAUAACGAGGAACUCCGAUUGCGUAGGCAGCUUACUAAGCCAUAACUGACGCUCAAGCACGAAAGCGUGGGGAUCAAAACAGGAUUAGAUACCCUGGUAGUCCACGCCGUAAACGAUGAUUACUAGUUGUAUGCGAUAUACCGUAUGUGACUAAGCGAAAGCGAUAAGUAAUCCACCUGGGGAGUACGCCGGCAACGGUGAAACUCAAAUGAAUUGACGGGGUCAUAGCUG